GAUGAACGCUGGCGGCGUGCCUAAUACAUGCAAGUCGAGCGAACAGAUGAGGAGCUUGCUCCUCUGACGUUAGCGGCGGACGGGUGAGUAACACGUGGAUAACCUACCUAUAAGACUGGGAUAACUUCGGGAUACCGGAGCUAAUACCGGAUAAUAUAUUGAACCGCAUGGUUCAAUAGUGAAAGACGGUUUUGCUGUCACUUAUAGAUGGAUCCGCGCCGCAUUAGCUAGUUGGUAAGGUAACGGCUUACCAAGGCAACGAUGCGUAGCCGACCUGAGAGGGUGAUCGGCCACACUGGAACUGAGACACGGUCCAGACUCCUACGGGAGGCAGCAGUAGGGAAUCUUCCGCAAUGGGCGAAAGCCUGACGGAGCAACGCCGCGUGAGUGAUGAAGGUCUUCGGAUCGUAAAACUCUGUUAUUAGGGAAGAACAAAUGUGUAAGUAACUAUGCACGUCUUGACGGUACCUAAUCAGAAAGCCACGGCUAACUACGUG
rnacentral:rRNA from 1 species